GCUCCCGUCGUUUAAGUCGGUUAGGACAAUGCUUUUUCACGGCAUAAGUAUGGGUUCAAAUCCCAUCAGGAGUA
rnacentral:tRNA from 1 species